AACGCGAAGAACCUUACCAAGGUUUGACAUACAGGGAAAAGCCGUAGAGAUAUGGUGUCCGUAAGGGUCCUGUACAGGUGGUGCAUGGCUGUCGUCAGCUCGUGUCGUGAGAUGUUGGGUUAAGUCCCGCAACGAGCGCAACCCUCGUCCUAUGUUGCCAGCGGGUAAUGCCGGGGACUCAUAGGAGACUGCCGGGGUCAACUCGGAGGAAGGUGGGGAUGAGGUCAAGUCAUCAUGCCCCUUAAGUCUUGGGCUGCAAACAUGCUACAAUGGCCGGUACAGAGGGCUGCGAAACCGCAAGGUGGAGCGAAUCUCAAAAAGCCGGUCUCAGUUCGGAUUGGGGUCUGCAACUCGACCCCAUGAAGUCGGAGUCGCUAGUAAUCGCGAAUCAGCAACGUCGCGGUGAAUACGUUCCCGGGCCUUGUA
rnacentral:rRNA from 1 species